rnacentral:rRNA from 1 species
CCUACGGGUGGCAGCAGUGGGGAAUAUUGCACAAUGGGGGAAACCCUGAUGCAGCGACGCCGCGUGAGUGAAGAAGUAUUUCGGUAUGUAAAGCUCUAUCAGCAGGGAAGAAAAUGACGGUACCGGAUUAAGAAGCCCCGGCUAACUACGUGCCAGCAGCCGCGGGAAUACGUAGGGGGCAAGCGUUAUCCGGAUUUACUGGGUGUAAAGGGAGCGUAGACGGCAGAACAAGUCUGGAGUGAAAUGCCGGGGCUUAACCCCGGAACUGCUUUGGAAACUGUGCAGCGAGAGUGCAGGAGAGGUAAGUGGAAUUCCUAGUGUAGCGGUGAAAUGCGUAGAGAUUAGGAGGAACACCAGUGGCGAAGGCGGCUUACUGGACUGUAACUGACGUUGAGGCUCGAAAGCGUGGGGAGCAAACAGGAUUAGAUACCCCUGUAGUC